GCAGACUUUGCUGCAAUGCUUAACUGCUUGUGUCAAGGUUUACUGAACAGUAAAGACUAAACGUAUUUGCGCAGAAAAGUUGGUUGAUAUUUCAAACUCCAACAUUAAUUAUUGUUUGAUGGGAAUUACAUUCAUGAAUAAUAGUUUUUGUUUAUGUAUAUCUUAGGUCAAUUUGCUAAUACUUAGUGCCACGUUGAUAGCAUAUCAUAGCAUUUCUUUUAAAAUCAAUGUUUUCAAAAAGGUCCUUUGGUAACUACAGAUGUUUAUUAAUAACCAUAAUAGUGAUAACUUUUAAUUCCGGUUUUCAACUAUCUCUGAGCUACAUAUCCUGAUAUAACCAAUAAAAUACUCAAACUUGGAAAUUGUUUUGAUGAUUUAAUAGGACAUCAUUAAAUAAAUAAAAGGUUUCCUUUCAGAAAUAGAAAUCAGAUUUCUGACAACCCGAAAUAUGCUUCCCAUAUUCAAUAGCUCUCACAUAUGUUCAUAUAAUAAUCCACGGCUCUUAUGUCAACUGGGGAUCACUAUUUUUCCUAUUAUUUUUAGACUACAGAGAUUUUUGAACAAGUGAGGCAUUUUUUAAUGAAGCAGCUUCAACAGUGACAGACGGAUCAUCUUCGAGAGUCUUUGCGGGGAAAGGUACGGAAAGGAUGAAGUUGCCUGGUGAAACGGCGCGUACAGCUUCAUAGAUAUCAUGAAGUGUAUGCGAGAGAUUGACAGUAAGGACAGUUCUUCCACCAUUUGAUAAGCGUACUUGAAUUCUCGUGGUGGGUUUAUUUUCGUCAAUCUGUAAAGAUGCAUGCGGAGUUGUUGAAUUGGGUUUGACAUUUAUAGGAACAGAGGAAGAAGUAGAAGUAUCAGUGUAAAGACCACCUGGCAUUUGAGACAUUCGUGGUUGCAUGUAGGUAGAACCGAGACGUUGUCCCUUGCCUGAAAAAGGUUUGAACGGCGCUACAUAAUCCUCAUCCAUCCGAUGCUGAACUACAACAUCAAUUGGUUGAUUCAUAGAUACUCCUAGAAGAUGCAAAGGUGCUCGACCGCUAUUUAUAUAACGCAACAUUUCUUGAUUAGCGGGAUCGUCAUAUGUAUAGAUAGGACCAUCGUCUACACUAAAACCAUUUCGCCAAAAGUACAAAGUACGACGUAAAGGCUUUUCUGGUUGACUCUCAGUAGGAGGAUUUUCACGCGGAGGACCUGACUGCGUUACAGGAGUGGUCGAACCAGAAGCCUCAUUUUCUGUGCCUAAUCGUUGUCCGACACUAGCCCAAGACGAUGCAAGACUAGAAGGACCUGAAUCUUGCUCAUCUAAAGGAGAUAUUGUGUGUUGACGUGCCUUUUCGAGAAUAUCGCGCACCAACUGUUUCUUUGGAUCAGGAUCACCGUCUUCUACAGAAAGCCCACUCUUCUCACCACCAGUAAAGAGAUGUGAUUUCUCUUCUGCACUUUCAUCAUUUCCCUCUAAAUCCCUAAGCGUGGCGAAUUUUUUUGAUGCAGUUCCUGACUUCAUUCCUUGGCCUUGAGUAUUUUGUUGUCUUUGCAACGGUCGAGGUGGUUGUUGAUCACCACCACUGAUUCCACUUGAGCUUCCAGUAACUUCAGGAACUUUCGAUACAUCACUGGAAGGUUGCAACCCAUGGUCUUCUUCAGGAGGUAUUACUUCAUGUAAAAGUGCAGUAGCCAAUUCAUAAUUCCAAUUCGUGGACUCUAAAAAAAAACGGCCCUGACUAACGUCAAUAUUAUUGCGAUUGCAAAAUUCCUUUAAGAUAUCUUCCCUAUCCAUUUUACUUCUGAAAAAAAGAGAAGAAAGAUUUCAAGUUCUGUAGUGUUUUUUUUAGCUGUAGAACAAACAAGUAGAAAUGUGAAGUCAAUUGAUGACUAAAACGUGUUUGACUCUUUCGAUCAAUCUUCUUUCAAAAAAAAUCAAGAUUUCUUUGAUGAUAUACUG